rnacentral:rRNA from 1 species
GAUGAACGCUGGCGGCGUGCCUAACACAUGCAAGUCGAGCGAUCUUCUUCGGAAGAGAGCGGCGGACGGGUGAGUAACGCGUGGGUAACCUGCCCUGUACACACGGGUAACAUACCGAAAGGUAUGCUAAUACGAGAUAAUAUGCUUUUAUCGCAUGGUAGAAGUAUCAAAGCUCCGGCGGUACAGGAUGGACCCGCGUCUGAUUAGCUAGUUGGUAAGGUAAUGGCUUACCAAGGCGACGAUCAGUAGCCGACCUGAGAGGGUGAUCGGCCACAUUGGAACUGAGACACGGUCCAAACUCCUACGGGAGGCAGCAGUGGGGAAUAUUGCACAAUGGGCGAAAGCCUGAUGCAGCAACGCCGCGUGAGCGAUGAAGGCCUUCGGGUCGUAAAGCUCUGUCCUCAAGGAAGAUAAUGACGGUACUUGAGGAGGAAGCCCCGGCUAACUACGUGCCAGCCGCCGCCGUAA